GGAAGCCAUCCGACGCUCGGGGUGUCCUUGCAGGCCACGUGCCUUGAGCGCCUCGCUGUCAGCCAUCGGUAAAUUGCGUCCAUCCUACGCACUGCGAACGGAUCAGGCUCACUCACCUACGCGUCGUCCUUGCCCGCCGAACAAAUCGUCCCCACCUGCUUCGCCUUGCAUUUUGCAGCUUCAUCGUCUCUCACCCUCGCUUCCCACGCCGUCGACGACCUUCUCCGAGGUAGCACUCCAUCCCAGCCCGGUGACCGCCGUCUUCUGCCAACUGCGAGGAAGGCCAACCGCAGCUGCCAGCUCGCACACCCAAGCUGCCGCGGCUGCCGGAGGACGAAGUGAUUUUGUUACAAGGCUGCCCCUCUUGCUUCCCCUCACGAGCUGCGCACCCCAUCUCCAGAUCCCAUCCUCCCUACGCAGGCUUGUGCGGCGGCGGCAACGGUCCAACGGAGGUCGCAUCCUCCCCCUCGCCUUUCACCUAUCUACACCAAGUAAGCACCCCCCGAGCUGCCGUCCCCGUUGAGGUCAAGCCCCGUGCUAUCACCUUUGCCCUGCUUCGUGACUGUCGCAGAUGUCGGCAUGAAAUCUGGUUUUGCCUGACGGCGGCGGUAUCAAAUGCUCAAGGUGAAUAUGGCCAACGAUGCUGGUGCCUACGGACCUCGCGUCCGAGUUCCUCUCUUCCAGCACGGCAGCACCCCCUGCCUGGCGGCCCCUUGCCUCGGUGUUCUGCUCGACUGUCCAUGUCUUAUUUUACAUGGACUACCUGGAUAGAUAUGCCUGUGAGUUUGGUAUACAUUCAACUAUAACCAGUACAUUCGUGGUUUGUGAACUCAUUAAUCAACGUGCUUGCACCUUUUUUUGGUCCUCCAUAAAUGGAUGAAUGCCAAUGCUUGCAGAUUGUUCGUCCAAAGCUCAUACAUCCAUCUUUUUUGCGGGCCUAUAUGAAUUUCUAGAACAUCAAUGAAACUACGAUGCUCUUUGGAUAUUCAUAAUUUAUCUAAAUCAAAGAAGAGGAAGAAAGCUCUAUCAUCAAACAGUUCACAACUUCCCAUUCUUAUCAAGUUAUUUUUUUAUCUUAGUCCACCUUCGAUUUCACUGUGAAUUUUUUAUUCUUUCAUUUCCCUCCUUGCAAUGAUAUUCCCUACUGGUCGUUCAUUAGUGAUGCCUUGAAAAAUUUCAGUAUGAUUUUGCAUUCGUAAUGGCUUCAAAAAUAUGCUGACUGCUCCCUGCUUUCCCUAAUUAAUGAUUUACUGAGAAAAAUUUUUCUUAUAAUUUAUGAAUCUUGAUAGUUUCAUCUGUUUAUAGUUGCACUACAUUUAUGUUCCGCGUGAUUUACCUAUAUUCAUGACUUGUGAGGGUAAAAUCACCAUCGCAUAUGCUUCUCAUAUUGGGAUGUGUUCUUUGCUUUCUAGAUUUGUAUAGGAAAUUCACACAACUAACAUGAUAGUGUUGUACAUCUUUUAAAGUACGUAUGCAGCUCUCAAUGGUUACUCCAGGUUGCCCUCUUAGGCCUUGAUGUUUGUCUUCUGCCUAUGUAUGUGGUGCCAUAAAAUUUCACGGUACAUAUUUCUUACGGAAGGAUUACUUACUGUGACUGUGGAUAUGGCAUUGGCAUAUACUCUUUACUUCCAUCCAUUACGAUUGUAUUUAGGAUAUGCUUUUAGCUAUUUACCUUGCAUGAGAUUUCAUUCAACCCUUCUAUAAUACUUAUUCUUAUCUACGAUGAUGACAAAAAAAGAUUGGGUUAAAAUUAUAUGGACAGCUUAUGAUAUGAUGAGGAGUUUGGAAUGUCUGUGGACUUCCCUAUAAGUUUUGUCCUUUCAUCUGAUCGGAUUGAAUCAUGUGGGCACGCAGAUAUCAACAUUGUUGAUAGAUUUUGAAGUUCAAUAAGGAAAAAUGUGAGCUCUUCCAUAUGUAUUUAUAAGUAAAUUGCUAUGUGUCAUACUUCAUGACUAGAAGGUACUCAUAGUCAAUUUCAUUAUAAAUGUUCCCAGUAUGCUGUUCACUGCUCCUGAGCUCCAAACAUUUUUGUAUGCUCCUUCCAGUUAGAAGUGGCCAUAGAAACAAAGGCGGCCAUCAAAAUUUCUUUUAUUGCUUACAUUUGAAGUUUGCCCAAUCAUUGAAAUCAGAGACUGCAUUCGUUACUACUUUUUUGUUAUUUUUCUUCUAUUUUCUGUCUUCUCUUUUUAUGUGUGUAACCAGUAGAAUACAUCAUCGUUUUGCCUCUUUUCCUAUGUGUUAGUACAGUACAUUUGUACAAUAUUAUUGCAGCAAUAUGUAAGAUCCUUUGCUUUAUUUUGUUAAUCUCAAUCAAAAAAUGUUCACUGUAGUUUUUGGUGGCUUAUAACAACUGAAUGCUUAGCAUCACACAGGGAGUGGACGUUGAAAAGAUGAACAAAUUGGAUGCACGCACCAUACAGUGUCACUAUCUCAGGUGCUUUAUUCUGCCGGCGCGGAGAUUUUAACAUACUAGAAUUUCAUAAGAUACAAAGGUAAAAUCAAUUUAGUUUAAGGAUUACUCAAGUUUGUUUUCAUUAGAAUUCUCAUUUCAAACAUGAUAAGUUUGGUUCUUUUCUCACUUCCUCCUAUUUUUUUAUAGUGUUAUGUUCUCCAGCAGUACUAGAUUAUUUUCUUUUCUUCUCUUUUCUCUUCUCAUUGUUGGCUGCUAAUGCAAGUUCUUUGGUUUUAACAAGUGAGGUGAUAAUUUUGGUUCUCUUUAAUAUUCUGAAUGAUUAAAUAUCUGACACAAUGACAUAGUUUUUUU